rnacentral:misc_RNA from 1 species
GCCCAAUAAGAAUUAUCUUUAAGUCUAUCAUCUUUAAACUCCACUUGAUCAAUUUUCACUCUUUGAAAGGCAUUUACGGUUUUUGGCUCUGCUGAUCCAUUGAAGUCUUUCCUUGAUGAUUUCUGCUUAGCAGAGUUGUUCAACUCAUCCUUAUUAUUACCAUUAGAGUUUGCUUCAACAACUUCACCAUUUUGUUCAAUUCCAUUGUCCGUGCAAAGAGCCUUCGUUUCUUCCAAGACUUCGGUCUUUCUGCGCUUUGAUUCUUCGGUUUCAACCCCAUCAACUCCUUGAUUUGCAUUUUCAUCAGAAGCUAAUCUUUUUCUCUUCUUGGAAUCCUUAGAAUCAGUGGCUCCACUCUUUUCCUUGGACUUCUUCUUUUUAUCCUUUUUAGUUGUUUCCGCAGUAAGAUCAUUAUUAUCGUUGUCGAUAGGGUCUACACUUUCUGGGUUCUCCUCAGUUUUCUUCUUUUUCUUCUCCUUUUGCUUCUUCAAGGGCAGGUCAGCCUUAUCAACUGCUAAAACCUCUUGAGCAGCAGCACCAUUUUUCAUGGAUUUAUCAACACUUUCAAGAUGAGAAACAUCUGGAACAGCAAUAUCAUUGUCUUCACUUCUCUUUUUCUUCUUUUUCUUGCUAACUUUUUCCUGAGAGUCUGCAUCAUUGCUACUUAUGUUGUUUCCCUUCAUGCCGUCUUCACAUAGCACUGGCUCUUUGUCUCCCUUUGAUAUUGUAUCAUUAUCAGUGCUGUUGCUUACAUACUUGCCAUAUAAAUCCUCCAAACUAAGGGAGCAAGACUUCCAACUGUCACCCUCAGUUUGAGUUUCUUUGAGAAAAUAUUUGAGGGUUUUGGAGAAACCAUUGAGGUGAAGAUAAUGAAGUAUAGAUUGUUGUAAACCAGACUUGUUUUCUUGAUUCUGCUCCUUCUUAGCCAUAACAAGAUUGGAUUUUGAUGACUCUGCUAGAACUACCUGCCUAGGUUUGAAGGCUAGUAACAGAGCAGCAGCUGCUGCUGUUGAGGAUGAUGAGGUACUAGGGUUUUGCUGCUGUCUGGUUUUUGUUUCUAGCAUAUAUUAA